rnacentral:RNase_P_RNA from 1 species
GUCCGAGCCCCGCAGGGCAGAAUAGCAGCUAACGGCUGCCGAGGGUGACCUUAGGGAAAGUGCAACAGAGAGAUACCGCCACAUUUGUGGUAAGGGUGGAAAGGCGAGGUAAGAGCUCACCGGUCUCGCGGAAACGCUGAGACCCUGUAAACCCUAUUCGGAGCAACGCUGACCGCAGCGAUACACCGGCCCGGUGUGCUGCAACGAGCGGCUGGAGCGCAGGGAGCGAUCCCGCGUCGAGAUAGAUGACCGUCCGCGACAGAACUCGGCUUACCGACCGACUCUA